UGUCUCAAAUCAGGUAGAUACCU
rnacentral:rRNA from 1 species